UUUGUCUUAAAAAAAAAAAAAAAAAAAAAAAAAAAAAAAAAAAAAAAAAAAAAAAAAAAAAAAAAAAAAAAAAAAAAAGUAACAAAAGAAAAGGAAACAAUGAUAUUUUAUGGAUAUAACAUUAUGUAUUUAUUUAUAAACAGAUAAUAUGGAUGUGUAUGUGUGUGUGUCUAUGUGUAUUUGAGAUGUUUUUAAAUAAAAAUAUGAACAUACUAUAAGUAUUUUACA
rnacentral:lncRNA from 1 species